CAGAGAGAAAAGAGAUCACUCCCUACCCUGAGAAGAGGGAUGCUUGCAUCUGGGCAGCUCGGGGGUAGCAUGUCUGGUUUGGUGUUCUCCCUCAGAAAAUGUCAGCUUCCCUUGUUGCAGCUGGGUUCUGGGCCAUGACUCUAAUCCAGACGUGGGACUCAGUAGCAGCUGGAAUCAAUGGAGGUGGAGCUCCAACAGCUUGUCUGAUCUGCUCUUCAAUCUCCACUCUCCUACAAAGGGAAGUGCAGGGGGUUUUAUUUAGCGCUGGGCUCGGCAGGUUGUGGGGUGGGGAGUUCAGGCCAAAGGGAAGGCAUUAUAGGAGUGUUUGUGCAGCAGAGUGGGGAAAUGGGGUCAGGGUUUCUAGCCACAGGAAGGGGAUUAUAGAGGUGUUUGUGUGAGAGAUGGAGGCACUGGCUUGCUGGCAUGGGGUGCAUGUGUGCUGUGAGGAGGGUUGCUGAGCAGAAUCUUACUUGAGCAUAAGAUAUUGCUGAGCUCUUCUUCCUGUGCUGGCAGGCACCCUACCAGCCGAGGGGCUACUCAAGUUCAUCCUUAGCUGGCAGGCCAAUGUGAUGCUGAGCUCUCACCUUCCCAGGCCUGUUUUGCUACAUCAGCGCCUGCUCCUGGUGUCCUUGGCACUAUUUUUAACAGCAUGUGUUUGCCGCAAGGAAAGCUGAUAUCCAUCUUGUCCAUUUAUCAGUGUUGCUUCCCUGGAAAGACAAAGGCUAAAUUUAUCCCCCUCCUCAUCAGCCAAGCGAGGCGAGAGAAAUGCUCCCCGCUCCAGCCCGGUCACACACACUGACAUUGGUGGUCCGGGGGAAUCUUGCAUGUCCAACAUCCAUAAACAAGGCUGGGGCCAAAUCCACUUACACAGAUGGCCGUGCACAGACCAGCCUCAGGGCUUGUCUACACUUGAAUGCUAUAGUGGCACAGCUAGUAUAGACGUUACCUAUGCCAAUGGGAGGGAAGAUUUCUUCUGUUGACCAAGCACUGUCUACAGAGGGACUCAGGUCGGCUUAACUAUGUCACUCAGGACACCCCUGAGAGCUAUAACUGGGUCGAUCUAAUCUAGUGUAGACCAAUCCUCACACAGCCCAGUUAGCUGGGGAUACUCACCGACUCCAGGAUGCAAACACCACCACACGUACAAAACACAUGCCUGCCUGAGUCACAUGCCCUCCUUCACUUUGAUCAGUGCAUCUUGAGUGAAUCGGAUCUGGGGCUAAAUUCCUUGUUGGCGUAAACUGGUACAACUUCAUUGGCUUCUGUGGAUUUGGGCUAAUUCACACCAGCAACCUGUCUGGCCCCUGGGGUUCUCAGCUCUUCCUUCAUUAAUUCUUUUAAAUUUGUGAAGCAUGUGCCAAGACACAAUGGUGAUGGACCCACUAAAAAUGCCUCUGAGGCAGAUAAACGAUGCCACGCUGGGUGUUGACAGGAACUCCCCUGAAUUGAUAUCAGUCUGUCUCAUGACCAUAACAAGCCUGAUACUUCUAUCUUCCCCCUCCCAGUCUCCCUAUAUGCCUGAUUCAGAAAUGGAUGGCAGUAAGCCCCUGAUUUCCAAAGAAACCUGGGAUAUUAGGCUGAAUGCUACAGCACACAAAGUCCUUUCCUAAGGAUUUCACAUUCAAUGGUUUCCAUCACCACUAGGUGGUGUAGAUCUGCUGCUAAAUUUUCUCCAUGGCAAAAGUAGAUGAUGUUACCUUGUUUUAACAGAGAAAAAUCACGGACUGUGGAAAUACCUCCUUUCCUCCUCCCUACCUGGAUGCAUCAAGAGAGGGUCAGGUCAUGACAGCAACAGAGGAAAAGGCCAUUACUGAAACUUUACAGAAGUCCCAGUGGCCACCUCUUCCAACUGGCUUGGAAAGAUUCCUACAAACUUUCUGUCCCAUGAGACUGAAGACAGCUUAUCUUAUAUUGGGCAUGCCCAGACUUUGCCUAGCUGGGAGACAUGCAUUAGCAACUUCCAGAAGCCCAAGGGAUCAACUUUAAUUUGUAUAAAAUCAUGUGACCCCUGGAGACUACACAUCCUGGCAUGCAAUGUGCUACCUUGAUCCAAACAACCCUUCCUUAUGGAUCAAGAUGGAGCACUGCAUGUAAAGUUUCAAGGGCCAAUCUUUGUGUAUUAAAGACCAGGUGAGCUGCAGGCUACAUUCCAGAACCUGGAGAAUGGCAUUCAACCCACAGGCCGCCCCAUGUCCACCCCUUUAUGGAGCAGGGUUUGAACUGACAAUGCUGAGCCAUUCUAGUGGCCCUGGUCUUUCAUCUGGUCUCAGCAUGGGUGUCAUUAGAGGGCUUCUGGAACUGUCAAGUCAGCUGUUUCCAAAACAAGCACUGCUCUUGCUUCACGUGGUGAUGCCAGGAGGUUUGCCCUUGCAGGUGCACCUUGUCAUGAGUUACUGUUCCCUGGGUCUGGUUGUUUGCAGGUUUUCCUGCUGAGUUCCAUUAGCGUUCAUCCAUUCCAGCCCCUCUGCCCUCCUGGCACGCACCCUAUUCCAAGGGGAUCAGUCAGGAUCAGAUGAGGGAGAGUUAUACUAGGCAGCACUUGUGUGUUGGCAAACAGACUGUGGUAUGCGCUGUCUCCAGGGAAGGUCCGGCUUACACUUUAUACUGUUUGGAAAACUUGGGCCCAAUCCUGUGAGGCUGUGAGUGCUCUCAACUCCCUUUGAGGUCAGCAGGAGCACAGACUUUUGGGCUAAAUCUGGCCCCAAAGUGAGGGUUCAUUAAAGUUGUGUAAAACUUAUAACUAUUACAAAUGUUACAAAUUACUUAUAACUAUUAAAAAAAUUUUUUUUACCAGAAAUCAAAUUAACGAAAGUAUUUGCAAGCUAAAUAUNUCUAUUAAAAAAAAUUUUUUUACCAGAAAUCAAAUUAACGAAAGUAUUUGCAAGCUAAAUAUUUCAAGGGCAUGUCAGUGCAUGAAAGCCCUCAAGUGAGACUCACCACUUGAAACUGGAAACAAAAAGUAAAAGGAACUGAUCUGUGUUUAAUGACCAGGUUGACUGAAAGUGCAUUGAGAAAACAGGCACAUUGAGAAAUUGAGAAAACGGGCAUUGAGAAAACAGGCACAUUAAAUCUUACUUGGUUAUUAAUGAUCAUUAUUAUUGCUUUGUGCUGAUAAUCUGUAUAAAACAUACAUAAAGACAGCCCGUUUUUUACAAUCUUAGGCCCUGAUGCUGUAAUUGGAUCCGUACCAGCAGCUUCACUGAAGUCUAUGGGACUUUGCAUGGGUGUCAGAAUGUGUGUAUCUGGAUCUGACUGCAGAACUGGACCCACAGACCAGACACACUUGGAAGGAAAAACAUACUAGGACAAACAGAGACGGAGUAGUUUAGGGUAUUAGUGAGAUUCCCCUCCAAAGGGGGGAAUAAAUUGGAUAUGUAAAAAUUCCUGGUCCA
ensembl:lncRNA